UAAAGACAUAUUUUUGUAAAUUACAUAAACUGCAGUUAACAACAGUUUAAAAUUAUUAUGUUUUAAUUACAGAUAUUGCACCAUACUGUUCCAAUAUUGUACAUGAUGUAGUACCAUAGGUUCCCGAGUGUUGUGUACAUACGACCUUUGUACCUCAUGCAUGGAAGUUUUUAAUAGCGACUGAAUCAAACGAAGAAUCUUCAGAGUUAAAUGCAUAGAAAGGAAAUGAAGAUAAGCCAAUGCAUGACAUAAGGAGAAGUCAGGAGUUAUGAAUUUUGAAAUUGGAAUAAAGGAGAGGUCAUACAUCACAGAAGACUUUAAGCAAAGUUUACAGUAUGUUGAGAAAAGAUCAUAACAAGGUAUUUUGUUUGAAGAGGAAUCACAGUGGCCAAGACUUCAUCUUUAAAUAAAAUAUAUUGUAUUAGAAGUGAAGUUUUAAGUCAUGAAACAAUAACCAAUAUUUAAUUGUUAUUUCAAAGACUAUGUGGAUGUUAUCUGACUAGCAUUUGUAUGACUUAAAUGUGGCAUUUUUCAUAUGAAGACUCACAAGGCAAAUACUUGGAUGUGACAAUAAUUUGCAUGCAUUUGGAGACAGUUCUGUGUAUGAAAUGAAGAGUGUUUGCUCAUUAAAUGAAUUAUAAAAAU